UCCCCGUUACCGGGGCAGUCUCGCAAGAUAUAUCCAACUUGCGACGAGGGUUGCGCUCGUUAAGGGACUUAACCCUACAUCUCACGACACGAGCUGACGACGGCCAUGCAUCACCUGUCUCUCGAUUCCCUUGCGGGCACUCCCGACUUUCAUCGGGAUUCCGAGGAUGUCAAUCCCUGGUAAGGUUCUUCGCGUACCAUCGAAUUAAACCACACGCUCCACCGCUUGUGCGGGUCCCCGUCAAUUCCUUUGAGUUUUAAGCUUGCGCUCGUACUCCCCAGGCGGAAUGCUUAACGCGUUAGCUUCGCUACCGAGAGGGUCGAUACUCCCAGCAGCUAGCAUUCAUCGUUUACGGCGUGGACUAC
rnacentral:misc_RNA from 1 species